UACGGAGGGUGCAAGCGUUGCUCGGAAUUAUUGGGCGUAAAGGGUAGGUAGGUGGUCUCAUUUGUCUGGGGUGAAAUCCUUGAGCUUAACUCAAGAAGUGCCCCAGAAACGGUGAGACUGGAGUCCUGGAGAGGGUCGUGGAAUUCCCGGUGUAGCGGUGAAAUGCGUAGAGAUCGGGAGGAACACCAGAGGCGAAAGCGGCGACCUGGACAGGUACUGACACUCAACUACGAAAGCGUGGGGAGCAAACAGG
rnacentral:rRNA from 1 species